AUUGAACGCUGGCGGCAUGCCUUACACAUGCAAGUCGAACGGUAACGGGCCUUCGGGCGCCGACGAGUGGCGAACGGGUGAGUAAUGCAUCGGAACGUACCUUUCAGUGGGGGAUAACGUAGCGAAAGUUACGCUAAUACCGCAUAUUCUGUGAGCAGGAAAGCAGGGGAUCGCAAGACCUUGCGCUGAUUGAGCGGCCGAUGUCAGAUUAGCUAGUUGGUGAGGUAAAGGCUCACCAAGGCGACGAUCUGUAGCGGGUCUGAGAGGAUGAUCCGCCACACUGGAACUGAGACACGGUCCAGACUCCUACGGGAGGCAGCAGUGGGGAAUUUUGGACAAUGGGGGCAACCCUGAUCCAGCCAUGCCGCGUGAGUGAAGAAGGCCUUC
rnacentral:rRNA from 1 species